UUAAGCGACUAAGCGUACACGGUGGAUGCCCUGGCAGUCAGAGGCGAUGAAGGACGUGCUAAUCUGCGAAAAGCGUCGGUAAGGUGAUAUGAACCGUUAUAACCGGCGAUGUCCGAAUGGGGAAACCCAGUGCAAUUCGUUGCACUAUCGUUAACUGAAUACAUAGGUUAACGAGGCGAACCGGGGGAACUGAAACAUCUAAGUACCCCGAGGAAAAGAAAUCAACCGAGAUUCCCCCAGUAGCGGCGAGCGAACGGGGAGCAGCCCAGAGUCUGAAUCAGCUUGUGUGUUAGUGGAACGGUCUGGAAAGUCCGACGGUACAGGGUGAUAGUCCCGUACACCAAAAUGCACAGGUUGUGAACUCGAAGAGUAGGGCGGGACACGUGGUAUCCUGUCUGAAUAUGGGGGGACCAUCCUCCAAGGCUAAAUACUCCUGACUGACCGAUAGUGAACCAGUACCGUGAGGGAAAGGCGAAAAGAACCCCGGCGAGGGGAGUGAAAAAGAACCUGAAACCGUGUACGUACAAGCAGUGGGAGCACCUUCGGGUGUGACUGCGUACCUUUUGUAUAAUGGGUCAGCGACUUAUAUUCUGUAGCAAGGUUAACCGUAUAGGGGAGCCGCAGGGAAACCGAGUCUUAACUGGGCGUUAAGUUGCAGGGUAUAGACCCGAAACCCGGUGAUCUAGCCAUGGGCAGGUUGAAGGUUGGGUAACACUAACUGGAGGACCGAACCGACUAAUGUUGAAAAAUUAGCGGAUGACUUGUGGCUGGGGGUGAAAGGCCAAUCAAACCGGGAGAUAGCUGGUUCUCCCCGAAAGCUAUUUAGGUAGCGCCUCGUGAAUUCAUCUUCGGGGGUAGAGCACUGUUUCGGCUAGGGGGUCAUCCCGACUUACCAACCCGAUGCAAACUACGAAUACCGAAGAAUGUUAUCACGGGAGACACACGGCGGGUGCUAACGUCCGUCGUGAAGAGGGAAACAACCCAGACCGCCAGCUAAGGUCCCAAAGUCAUGGUUAAGUGGGAAACGAUGUGGGAAGGCACAGACAGCCAGGAUGUUGGCUUAGAAGCAGCCAUCAUUUAAAGAAAGCGUAAUAGCUCACUGGUCGAGUCGGCCUGCGCGGAAGAUGUAACGGGGCUAAACCAUGCACCGAAGCUGCGGCAGCGACACUAUGUGUUGUUGGGUAGGGGAGCGUUCUGUAAGCCUGCGAAGGUGACCUGUGAGGGUUGCUGGAGGUAUCAGAAGUGCGAAUGCUGACAUAAGUAACGAUAAAGCGGGUGAAAAGCCCGCUCGCCGGAAGACCAAGGGUUCCUGUCCAACGUUAAUCGGGGCAGGGUGAGUCGACCCCUAAGGCGAGGCCGAAAGGCGUAGUCGAUGGGAAACAGGUUAAUAUUCCUGUACUUGGUGUUACUGCGAAGGGGGACGGAGAAGGCUAUGUUAGCCGGGCGACGGUUGUCCCGGUUUAAGCAUGUAGGCUGAUUGUCCAGGCAAAUCCGGAUAAUCAAGGCUGAGGUGUGAUGACGAGGCACUACGGUGCUGAAGUAACAAAUGCCCUGCUUCCAGGAAAAGCCUCUAAGCAUCAGGUAACAUCAAAUCGUACCCCAAACCGACACAGGUGGUCAGGUAGAGAAUACCAAGGCGCUUGAGAGAACUCGGGUGAAGGAACUAGGCAAAAUGGUGCCGUAACUUCGGGAGAAGGCACGCUGGUGUGUAGGUGAAGCCCCUGCGGGUGGAGCUGAGACCAGUCGAAGAUACCAGCUGGCUGCAACUGUUUAUUAAAAACACAGCACUGUGCAAACACGAAAGUGGACGUAUACGGUGUGACGCCUGCCCGGUGCCGGAAGGUUAAUUGAUGGGGUUAUCCGUAAGGAGAAGCUCUUGAUCGAAGCCCCGGUAAACGGCGGCCGUAACUAUAACGGUCCUAAGGUAGCGAAAUUCCUUGUCGGGUAAGUUCCGACCUGCACGAAUGGCGUAAUGAUGGCCAGGCUGUCUCCACCCGAGACUCAGUGAAAUUGAACUCGCUGUGAAGAUGCAGUGUACCCGCGGCAAGACGGAAAGACCCCGUGAACCUUUACUAUAGCUUGACACUGAACAUUGAGCCUUGAUGUGUAGGAUAGGUGGGAGGCUUUGAAGCGUGGACGCCAGUCUGCGUGGAGCCAACCUUGAAAUACCACCCUUUAAUGUUUGAUGUUCUAACGUUGGCCCCUUACCGGGGUUGCGGACAGUGUCUGGUGGGUAGUUUGACUGGGGCGGUCUCCUCCCAAAGCGUAACGGAGGAGCACGAAGGUUAGCUAAUCCUGGUCGGACAUCAGGAGGUUAGUGCAAUGGCAUAAGCUAGCUUGACUGCGAGCGUGACGGCGCGAGCAGGUGCGAAAGCAGGUCAUAGUGAUCCGGUGGUUCUGAAUGGAAGGGCCAUCGCUCAACGGAUAAAAGGUACUCCGGGGAUAACAGGCUGAUACCGCCCAAGAGUUCAUAUCGACGGCGGUGUUUGGCACCUCGAUGUCGGCUCAUCACAUCCUGGGGCUGAAGUAGGUCCCAAGGGUAUGGCUGUUCGCCAUUUAAAGUGGUACGCGAGCUGGGUUUAGAACGUCGUGAGACAGUUCGGUCCCUAUCUGCCGUGGGCGCUGGAGAAUUGAGGGGGGCUGCUCCUAGUACGAGAGGACCGGAGUGGACGCAUCACUGGUGUUCGGGUUGUCAUGCCAAUGGCACUGCCCGGUAGCUAAAUGCGGAAGAGAUAAGUGCUGAAAGCAUCUAAGCACGAAACUUGCCCCGAGAUGAGUUCUCCCUGAGACUUUAAGUCUCCUGAAGGAACGUUAAAGACGAUGACGUUGAUAGGCCGGGUGUGUAAGCGCAGCGAUGCGUUGAGCUAACCGGUACUAAUGAACCGUGAGGCUUAACCUU
rnacentral:rRNA from 1 species